CUGUUUCAUGACAAGUAUCAGGUUGGUGCAAAAGUAAUCGCGGUUUUUGCCAUUUAAAAGUAAUGGCAAAAACCACAAUUACUUUUGGACCAACCUA
rnacentral:miRNA from 1 species